CGGCGGACGGGGGAGUAACGCGUGGGUAACCGUACCUCAUACAGGGGGAUAACAGUUGGAAACGGCUGCUAAUACCGCAUAAGCGCACAGUACCGCAUGGUACCGUGUGAAAAACUCCGGUGGUAUGAGAUGGACCCGCGUCUGAUUAGCUAGUUGGUGGGGUAACGGCCUACCAAGGCGACGAUCAGUAGCCGACCUGAGAGGGUGACCGGCCACAUUGGGACUGAGACACGGCCCAA
rnacentral:rRNA from 1 species